rnacentral:rRNA from 1 species
UGGCUCAGAUUGAACGCUGGCGGCAUGCCUUACACAUGCAAGUCGAACGGCAGCGGACCUUCGGGUGCCGGCGAGUGGCGAACGGUGAGUAAUAUAUCGGAACGUACCUUUCAGUGGGGGAUAACGUAGCGAAAGUUACGCUAAUACCGCAUAUUCUGUGAGCAGGAAAGCAGGGGAUCGCAAGACCUUGCGCUGAUUGAGCGGCCGAUAUCAGAUUAGCUAGUUGGUGAGGUAAAGGCUCACCAAGGCGACGAUCUGUANCGGGUCUGAGAGGAUGAUCCGCCACACUGGAACUGAGACACGGUCCAGACUCCUACGGGAGGCAGCAGUGGGGAAUUUUGGACAAUGGGCGCAAGCCUGAUCCAGCCAUGCCGCGUGAGUGAAGAAGGCCUUCGGGUUGUAAAGCUCUUUCGGCCGGGAAGAAAUCGCACAGGUUAAUACCCUGUGUGGAUGACGGUACCGGAAUAAGAAGCACCGGCUAACUACGUG